GAUUAACGCUGGCGGCGUGCUUAACACAUGCAAGUCGAACGGAAAGGCCUCUUUCGGGGGGUACUCGAGUGGCGAACGGGUGAGUAACGCGUGAGUAACCUGCCCUUGACUUUGGGAUAACUUCAGGCAACUGGGGCUAAUACCGGAUAGGAGCUCCUGCUGCAUGGUGGGGGUUGGAAAGUUUCGGCGGUUGGGGAUGGACUCGCGGCUUAUCAGCUUGUUGGUGGGGUAGUGGCUUACCAAGGCUUUGACGGGUAGCCGGCCUGAGAGGGUGACCGGCCACAUUGGGACUGAGAUACGGCCCAGACUCCUACGGGAGGCAGCAGUGGGGAAUAUUGCACAAGGGGUGGAAGCCUGAUGCAGCAACGCCGUGUGCGGGAUGACGGCCUUCGGGUUGGAAACCGCUUUCGCUCAUGACGAAGCUUUGUGUGACGGUAGUGGGCAAAGAAGCACCGGCUAACUACGUG
rnacentral:rRNA from 1 species